rnacentral:ncRNA from 1 species
UACAUUCACAACUGGGGUGGGAGAAAAAAUCUACAGAUUUUUUCUCUUCUGAGAGUAUACCCAUAGGACGGGCCGUAUGGCUGUCCCAACCUGAUCCGGAUAAUACCGGCGGAGGAAGUUAUGAAAAAAAAUCUUU